rnacentral:rRNA from 1 species
CCUACGGGGGGCAGCAGUGAGGAAUAUUGGUCAAUGGGCGAGAGCCUGAACCAGCCAAGUCGCUUGCGGUCCUCCUUUCCUCUUUCUUUUCCCCCUCUUUUUCCUUUUCUCCCAAAGCGUUACGUGUACCGCAUCGAGAGUACCCGGAGAAAAAGCAUCGGCUAACUCCGUGCCAGCAGCCGCGGUAAUACCGAGGAUGCGAUCGUUAUCCGGAUUUAUUGGGUUUAAAGGGUGCGCAGGCGGCGAGUUAAGUCAGCGGUAAAAUUUCGGGGCUCAACCCCGACAAGCCGGUGACACUGGCUUGCUAGAGUGGGCGAGAAGUAUGCGGAAUGCGUGGUGUAGCGGUGAAAUGCAUAGAUAUCACGCAGAACUCCGAUUGCGAAGGCAGCAUACCGGCGCCCAACUGACGCUCAGGCACGAAAGCGUGGGUAUCGAACAGGAUGAGAGAAAAGGGGAGGC